AUAUUUUAAAGAAAUAUUCCUCCUUAAUAUCUUCAAUAUUACGCUCUAUAUACAUAAGCUAUUAAAAUA
rnacentral:tRNA from 1 species